AGCAGCCGCGGUAAUUCCAGCUCCAAUAGCGUAUAUUAAAGUUGUUGCAGUUAAAAAGCUCGUAGUUGAAUUUCAGGCCUGGCUGGACGGUCCGCCUUUUGGGUGAGUACUGUCUGUGGUCGGGUCCUACCUUCUGGCGAAGCGUCAUGGCCUUAACCGGCCGUGGCGGGGAACCAGGACUUUUACUGUGAAAAAUUAGAGUGUUCAAAGCAGGCAGUCGCUUGAAUACAUUAGCAUGGAAUAAUGGAAUAGGACAAUGGUUCUAUUUGUUGGUUUCUAGGAUCGUUGUAAUGAUUAAUAGGGAUAGUUGGGGGCAUUAGUAUUCAAUUGUCAGAGGUGAAAUUCUUGGAUUUAUUGAAGACUAACUACUGCGAAAGCAUUUGCCAAGGAUGUUUUCAUUAAUCAAGAACGAAAGUUAGGGGAUCGAAGACGAUCAGAUACCGUCGUAGU
rnacentral:rRNA from 1 species